rnacentral:misc_RNA from 1 species
CAACCCUCGAGCCCCUCCGGGCUUGGCGUUGGGGAUCGGCCCCGCCUCGGCGGCCGGCCCCGAAAUGCAGUGGCGGUCUCGCCGCGCGUCUUCUGCGUAGUAGCAAACCUCGCACUGGGACGCGGCGCGGCCACGCCGUGAAGCGGCCGGACGAGUCAUCGCCCGGCCCCAUCCAUCAA